rnacentral:misc_RNA from 1 species
AUCUAUCAACUUCACACAAAUUUAAUUCUUGUGUUGAUGUUUGGAUGAUGAAGGUUGCUGGAUUUGUCAGCUCCUUUAAAAUGUAUUAGCAGAACAUUGUAUCAGCUUUGGUUUGAUAAUAAUUUAUCCAUGCUAUUGCUAAUAAACAUGGUUCCGCUUCAAAUUGUCUUGCUCUGUAAGACUGUCCAAUUGCUGGGCAUUAUUUUG